rnacentral:tRNA from 1 species
GGGGAUGUAGCUCAGUGGUAGAGCACUUGCCUAGCACUGUGAGGCCCUGGGUUCCAUUCCCAGCAUCACAA